AUUGAACGCUGGCGGCAGGCCUAACACAUGCUAGUCGAGCGACCGGCGCACGGGUGAGUAACACGUAUCCAACCUGCCCUUUACUCGGGGAUAGCCUUUCUAAAGAAAGAUUAAUACCCGAUGUAAAGGAUGGGGAUGAGUUCAAUUAGGUUGUUGGUGAGGUAACGGCUCACCAAGCCUUCUAUGGAUAGGUGUUCUGAGAGGAAGGUUCCCCACAUGGGAACUGAGACACGGGCCAAACUCCUACGUGAGGCAGCAGGGAGGAAUAUUGGUCAAUGGUAGGUAGCCUGAACCAGCCAAGUAUCGUGAAGGAUGAAGGCUUAUGGGUCGUAAACUUCUUUUAUAUAAGAAUAUGUAUUAUAUGAAUAAGGAGCGGCUAACUCCGUGCCAGCAGCCGCGGUAAUAC
rnacentral:rRNA from 1 species